GGCGUCGACCGGCGCACGGGUGAGUAACGCGUAUCCAACCUGCCCACCACUUGGGGAUAACCUUGGCGAAAGUAAGACUUAAUACCCAAUGACGUCUUUAGGAAGACAUCUGAAAGGGAUUAAAGAUUUAUCGGUGAUGGAUGGGGAUGCGUCUGAUUAGCUUGUUGGCGGGGUAACGGCCCACCAAGGCAACGAUCAGUAGGGGUUCUGAGAGGAAGGUCCCCCACAUUGGAACUGAGACACGGUCCAAACUCCUACGGGAGGCAGCAGUGAGGAAUAUUGGUCAAUGGGCGAGAGCCUGAACCAGCCAAGUAGCGUGCAGGAUGACGGCCCUAUGGGUUGUAAACUGCUUUUAUAAGGGAAUAAAGUGAGCCUCGUGAGGCUUUUUGCAUGUACCUUAUGAAUAAGGACCGGCUAAUUCCGUGCCAGCAGCCGCGGUAAUACGGAAGGUCCGGGCGUUAUCCGGAUUUAUUGGGUUUAAAGGGAGCGUAGGCCGGAGAUUAAGCGUGUUGUGAAAUGUAGAUGCUCAACAUCUGCACUGCAGCGCGAACUGGUUUCCUUGAGUACGCACAAAGUGGGCGGAAUUCGUGGUGUAGCGGUGAAAUGCUUAGAUAUCACGAAGAACUCCGAUUGCGAAGGCAGCUCACUGGAGCGCAACUGACGCUGAAGCUCGAAAGUGCGGGUAUCGAACAGGAUUAGAUACCCUGGUAGUCCGCACGGUAAACGAUGGAUGCCCGCUGUUGGUCUGAAUAGGUCAGCGGCCA
rnacentral:rRNA from 1 species